UCUGACCUCAAAUCAGGUAGGACUACCCGCUGAACUUAAGCAUAUCAAUAAGCGGAGGAAAAGAAACUAACAAGGAUUCCCUUAGUAACUGCGAGUGAACUGGGAAAAGCUCAAAUUUAAAAUCUGGCAGUCUGUUUUUUUCUUCUUUGGCUGUCCGACUUGUAAUCUAGAGAAGUGCUACCUGUACUGGACCGUG
rnacentral:rRNA from 1 species